GCAAUCGGCUGUUAACCGAUAGGUUCUUGGUUCGAGUCCAAGCCGGGGAGCCA
rnacentral:tRNA from 1 species